GGCGAGUGAAGCGGCAAAAGCUCAAAUUUGAAAUCCCGCGGGAAUUGUAAUUUGAAGGUUGGGGAAAAAGUAACGUGUUUUUCUAAGUCUAUUGGAAAAUGGCGCCACAGAGGGUGAUAGCCCCGUCUGAUUCAACACAAUACAUAUCUUCCCCCUCCAAAGAGUCGAGUUGUUUGGGAAUGCAGCUCUAAGUGGGUGGUAAAUUCCAUCUAAAGCUAAAUAUUGGCGAGAGACCGAUAGCGAACAAGUACAGUGAUGGAAAGAUGAAAAGCACUUUGAAAAGAGAGUGAAAAAGUACGUGAAAUUGUUGAAAGGGAAGGGCUUGCAAGCAGACACAACUUUUUGUUGGGCCAGCAUCGGGGGAGUAGGAGGCAAAAAGGAGUAGAAAUGUAGCUUCGGUGUUAUAGUCUGCUCUCAUACCUCCCCACCCUCCCGAGGCCUGCGUUCUGGAUGCUGGGUAAUGGUUGCAAGUCGCCCGUCCUUGAAACACGGACCAACA
rnacentral:rRNA from 1 species